ensembl:lncRNA
UUGGUAUGCCACGAUUACUUUAUUCAGAUCUAUCACACAAAGAGACGGUAUUAAGUAACACUGGCUUGAGUGAUCUCUUGCAACACAGAACAGGAACAGGUUCACGGUGUCGGAAAAGCAAGAAUGCUGAGGGCCUCAGAAAGCUGAGCUCUGAAGACCCUGCACAGUCAUGCUGUCCCAAUAGGUUUCAUGUUGUCAUGGAUGAUGUCAAAGAAAAAAAGUCUUCAAUGCUACCUAUUCAAGCACAGUAAGCAAGACUUUAUUCAGGACCAUCGUGAUGGCUACAGGGACCACAGCAAUGGGGACUUGUAGUAGGCGAGAGAGACUGGGCUCAGCUCUGAAUACACCAUGGAAAAGUGGGGAUUUAUAGACAGGGAACAUGGUGAGGGGCAGUGGAUGGAAGAUUACCAACAGGAAAUAUCAGGGAGCAUUCAGCUAAACUGACCUAACAGGAUUCUAGCUGAAGGCAGGCCAGGUGACCAGACAUCACCUGGGGUAUGGUGGAGGCUGAGGAGCUGAUCAGAUACUGAGGUUGAACAGAUAUGGGGGGGGUUAGGUGUUCUUGCUAAACUGACUUAACAGACUUCUUGCCAAAACUGGAUUUUACAAGGAAGUGCCCAGAUUGGGCCUGGGAGAAGGUUGAGGAGCUUGGCUAAAGUGUGGCCAAGUGUAGAAUCUUUGUCCAUGAAGCCUGGGAUGGAUGUGAGGUCCAUAGAGGUCAGACAGCUACAAUUUAAGAGGUUUUGAGCAUUUGCAUCACACAUCACAUUCUCUAGGCACUAAAGAGAAGGUAACAAGUCUUUAGCUUUUAGAAGUCUCCAUGUAAUCAACACCUUUCCUCCCGGGCAUGUCGGCUCCCUAUGGCCACAUGCUUGCCAGCAGACUCUCUAUGGACACUUUUUGUCGUUUUAUGAGAAUAGCUCAGUUGCAUGAGAGCCAAUCCUAGUCCCAAUACCAUGCCCUUCUCACUCCAGCUUCUUACUGCUUCAGGGGUUUGUUCUGACACUGGUUUGGUUUUCCUAAGGAAUCCGGUUGAAACAAAGAGAAGAGAGAAUAAUAUUUUUCAAAUCAAAUUUCUGCCUCAGGUAUUUGUAGAGCAAAGCAGCUGCUUCACCAGGGUAGGAUACCUUCCCCAGGGCCCAGUAAGACUUUCAUGGGUCACAAAGGCAAAACAUAUUAAAUAGAUUGUACUAUAUAAUAUAUAUAUAUAGUAAAACAUAUUAACAUACUGUUUUAUGACUAUGUUGGUGCAAAUGCCAAUAUCAUUUCCAAUCCCCAAUGUUCACUUUCUUUUCUUCUGAUUAUAAAAGAAAUUAAAACAUUUUUGUAGGCUCCUAAAAAGGCCUUAGAGAGUAUGCCUGAUGGGUAAUAAUCUAGCCUUUUCCCACUCUUGGAUCAUAGAGGUCAGAGCUAUUUUAUGUCUUAUUCCUCUCUGCAUGUCUCAGCCUCUCUCUUGAGCUAAGAAAGUUGAUGAAUCUUUGCAGAACUGGAACUUGUAUUCCCCAUUGCUUGACAUCAAGCUGGAAAUGUAGUAAACAUUCCCCACAUUGCUGAAUUGAGUCACAUUAUAAAGCAGGGUAUUAGCGCACAGCAUUUUUAAUUGCCAAGGAAAAAUUUUAACUUUGCAUUAACAUAUUGUAAAUAAUCCUUCCACUUAAUGCAAUCAGAUUCCUGUGACAAGCCAAACACUUGUUUUUUUGUGUGUGUUUUUCCCCUCCACUUUUCAUUGUAUGCCCUUCAGAAAAAUCUGAGAAGUGGGCUUCCAUUUUUGAAAAACAGGACUUCUUUAGUACCAUAGAUACGUAGAUUGCAAUUUUGCUUUUCCUGCAGCAUUCUUGAUCUUGUGAAAUGAUGCCAAUGUAUACAUCAUUAAUCUAUUUGCUUAACUUUUAAUAUCUAGUAAUGCUAGAAAUAUAAUAAUUUUUUAAAAGAAUUUGCUUAAAGUUUCAAAACCCACUAAGGUUUGGAUAUACAACUCCAGAGGGAAUAUGAAGGAGAUGCUUUGUAAACAAGCAGCCAUGCCUUACAGCUCUGCAACAAACAAACAAAUAAACAACAAAACUAUGCCUUAAAGAAGGUUUUUGAGGUUUCUCCUGGACAAAAGAAUUCCAAUUUCCUGUUAUACAUUCAAAUCAAAACUUUCAG